UGUGUCUUUCACUUCUCAACAGACAUCAUCAGUGACACAACAGUUUCCUCCUUCCAUAAAGAGGUCAUGACGAUCAAUAUGUCUUUUUUUUAAAACAUUGUUAGACUUCAUUAAUAUAUGAAACACCUUAUAUUAUCAUGUUUGUAGCCUGCUUAGCAUUGCUUAUCUUUCUAUUUUCAGUGUUUAAUCUUUAAUCUCUCCCGUUUUUUUGCACGCAUUGUUUUUUCCGCUUUUAUACUUUGUAACACGAUACAACUACGUGCAUUGUACCGCGCACACCCGCCCUUCCACUUUUAUCGCGAUUAAACUGUGUGCUUUACCGCACGCAUUUUUUACACGGAUCAUUGCAUCAAUCUCAAACCACUGGUGAACAGGAACCACCUCAACAACAACAAUUACAUGAGGGAUUCACAUCGAUCUCAAACUGCUGCUGAUCAAAAACCACCACGACAACAACAACAAACAAUUGCGGAUUAUAUCCCGAGGUUACCAGAAUCUGCCAGAUCCAUCUCCAGUCCUUCCUGAUGUCUGAUUCCCACUGUGUCACUGAGUGAUGAUUAACUGCAGCAUGUGCCAGCCAGACUUCACUUCAGUCUACUAAGAGAGACUUCACAGAGGAUGAACUGAUGCCAACUCAAAGACAUGAGAUUCUUCAUGAGCCUCUGUCUGAAGCAUGGGCUCAGGAUGGCACCAAAAUUACCUGCCAUCAGCUUCCAGCGGGACUGCGACGCUCCUCACUGAAUGAUACCUAUAUCAACAUGGCCAAAGGAGGGACAACACUCUCUUAAACGACAUAGAAAAUAAAUUAACCACUAACAAAAGCCUUCAUCGGCCCAAAUCAAAGGACAAUGCAUCUACGUGUAUUUUCGGGAUGACUUCAAGGACUUUAACACUAAAACUUAUAGUUCAUAUAAAAUCAUGUUGUUCAAUCAUUGACCCUCAACACUUAGUUUAAUAAUUUUAACCACUAAUAGUUCUAAACUUAAAUAACUAAUAUUGGCUUUAUAUUAAUUCAUUUUCUGUUAUAGCAUAAUUUCAUGUACAGCUGCUUUGAAACAACACCUGUUGUGUAAACUGCUAUACAAAUAAACUUGUCUUGAAAGAAGA